GAAUUCUCAGUAACUUCUUUGUGUUGUGUGUAUUCAACUCACAGAGUGGAACGUCCCUUUACACAGAGCAGAUUUGAAACACUCUUUUUGUGGAAUUUGCAAGUGGAGAUUUCAAGCGAUUUGAUGCCAACAGUAGAAAAGGAAAUAUCUGCAAAUAAAAACAAGACAGAAUCAUUCUCAGAAAGUGCUUUGUGAUGUGUGCGUUCGACUCACAGAGUUUAACCUUUCUUUUCAUAGAGGACUUUGGAAACACACUGUUUGUAAAGUCUGCAAGUGGAUAUAUGGACCUGUUUGAGGCCUUCGUUGGAAACGGGAUUUUAUCAUAUAAUGCUAGACGGAAGAAUUCUCAGUAAAUUCUUUGUGUUUUGUGCAUUCAACUCACAGAGUGGAACGUCCCUUUAGACAGAGCAGAUUUGAAACACUCUUUUUGCGGAAUUUGCAAGUGGAGAUUUCUAGCCAUUUGAUGCCAACAGUGGAAAGGGAAAUAUCUUCAAAUAAAAACUAGACAGAAUCAUCCUCAGAAAAUUCUUUGUGAUGUGUGCGUUCAACUCACAUAGUUUAACCUUUCUUUUUAUAGAGCAGUUUGGAAACACUUUGUUGGUAACGUCUGCAAGUGGAUAUAUGGAACGCUUUGAGGCUUUCGUUGGAAACGGGAUUUCUUCAUUUCAUGCUAGACAGAAGAAUUCUCAGUAACUUCUUUGUGUUGUGUGUAUUCAACUCACAGACUGGAACGUCGCUUUACACAGAGCAGAUUUGAAACACUCUUUUUGUGGAAUUUGCAAGUGGAGAUUUCAAGCGAUUUGAUGCCAACAGUAGAAAAGGAAAUAUCUGCAAAUAAAAACAAGACAGAAUCAUUCUCAGAAAGUGCUUUGUGAUGUGUGCGUUCAACUCACAGAGUUUAACCUUUCUUUUCAUAGAGGAGUUUGGAAACACACUGUUUGUAAAGUCUGCAAGUGGAUAUAUGGACCUGUUUGAGACCUUCGGUGGAAACGGGAUUUUAACAUAUAAUGCUAGACGGAAGAAUUCUCAGUAAAUUCUAUGUGUUGUGUGCUUUCAACUCACAUAGUUUAACCUUUCUUUUCAUAGAGCAGUUUGGAAACACUCUGUUGGUAAUGUCUGCAAGUGGAUAUAUGGACCGCUUGGAGGCUUUCGUUGGAAACGGGAUUUCUUCAUUUCAUGCUAGACAGAAGAAUUCUCAGUAACUUCUUUGUGUUGUGUGUAUUCAACUCACAGACUGGAACGUCCCUUUACACAGAGCAGAUUUGAAACACUCUUUUUGUGGAACUUGCAAGUGGAGAUUUCAAGCGAUUUGAUGCCAACAGUAGAAAAGGAAAUAUCUGUAAAUAAAAACAAGACAGAAUCAUUCUCAGAAAGUGCUUUGUGAUGUGUGCGUUCAACUCACAGAGUUUAUCCUUUCUUUUCAUAGAGGAGUUUGGAAACACACUGUUUGUAAAGUCUGCAAUUGGAUAUAUGGACCUGUUUGAGGCCUUCGUUGGAAACGGGAUUUUAUCAUAUAAUGCUAGACGGAAGAAUUCUCAGUAAAUUCUUUGUGUUGUGUGCAUUCAACUCACAGAGUGGAACGUCCCUUUAGACAGAGCAGAUUUGAAACACUGUUUUUGCGGAAUUUGCAAGUGGAGAUUUCUAGCCAUUUGAUGCCAACAGUAGAAAGGGAAAUAUCUUCAAAUAAAAACCAGACAGAAUCAUUCUCAGAAAAUUCUUUGUGAUGUGUGCGUUCAACUCACAUAGUUUAACCUUUCUUUUCAUAGAGCAGUUUGGAAACACUCUGUUUGUAAAGUCUGCAAGUGGAUAUAUGGACCGCAUUGAGGCCUUCGUUGGAAACGGGAUUUCUUCAUUUCAUGCUAGACAGAAGAAUUCUCAGUAACUUCUUUGUGCUGUGUGUAUUCAACUCACAGAGUGGAACGUCCCUUUACACAGAGCAGAUUUGAAACACUCUUUUUGUGGAAUUUGCAAGUGGAGAUUUCAAGCGAUUUGAUGCCAACAGUAGAAAAGGAAAUAUCUUCAAAUAAAAACUAGACAGAAUCAUUCUCAGAAACUACUUUGUGAUGUGUGCCUUCAACUCACAGAGUUUAACCUUUCUUUUCUUAGAGCAGUUUAGAAACACUCUGCUUGUUAUGUCUGCAAGUGGAUAUUUGGACCUCUUUGAGGGCUUCGUUGCAAACGGGGUUUCUUCCUUUCAUGCUAGACUAAGAAGAGUUCUCAGGAACUUUUUUGUGUUGUGUGUAUUCAACUCACAGAGUUGAACCUUGCUUUAGAGAGAGCAGAUUUGAAACACUCUUGCUGUGGCAUUUUCAGGUGGAGAUUUCAAGCGAUUUGAGGACAAUUGCAGAAAAGGAAAUAUCUUCGUAUAAUAACCAGACAGAAUCAUUCUCAGAAAGUGCUUUGUGAUGUGUGCGUUCAACUCACAGAGUUUAACCUUUCUUUUCAUAGAGGAGUUUGGAAACACACUGUUUGUAAAGUCUGCAAGUGGAAAUAUGGACCUGUUUGAGGCCUUCGUUGGAAACGGGAUUUCUUCAUUGAAUGCUAGACGGAAGAAUUCUCAGCAAAUUCUUUGUGUUGUGUGCAUUCAACUCCCAGAGUGGAACGUCCAUUUAGACAGAGCAGAUUUGAAACACUCAUUUUGCGGAAUUUGCAAGUGGAGAUUGCUAGCCAUUUGAUGCCAACAGUAGAAAGGGAAAUAUCUUCAAAUAAAAACUAGACAGAAUCAUCCUCAGAAAAUUCUUUGUGAUGUGUGCGUUCAACUCACAUAGUUUAACCUUUCUUUUCAUAGAGCAGUUUGGAAACUCUCUGUUGGUAAUGUGUGCAUGUGGAUAUAUGGACCGCUUUGAGGCCUUCGUUGGAAACGGGAUUUCUUCAUUUCAUGCUAGACACAAGAAUUCUCAGUAACUUCUUUGUGUUGUGUGUAUUAAACUCACAAACUGGAACGUCCCUUUACACAGAGCAGAUUUGAAACACUCUUUUUGUGGAAUUUGCAAGUGGAGAUUUCAAGCGAUUUGUUGCCAACAAUAGAAAAGGAAAUAUCUGCAAAUAAAAACUAGACAGAAUCAUUCUCAGAAAGUGCUUUGUGAUGUGUGCGUUCAACUCACAGAGUUUAACCUUUCUUUUCAUAGAGGAGUUUGGAAACACACUGUUUGUAAAGUCUGCAAUUGGAUAUAUGGACCUGUUUGAGGCCUUCGUUGGAAACGGGAUUUCUUCAUUGAAUGCUAGACGGAAGAAUUCUCAGUAAAUUCUUUGUGUUGUGUGCAUUCAACUCACAGAGUGGAACGUCCCUUUAGACAGAGCAGAUUUGAAACACUCUUUUUGCGGAAUUUCCAAGUGGAGAUUUCUAGCCAUUUGAUGCCAACAGUAGAAAGGGAAAUAUCUUCAAAUAAAAACCAGACAGAAUCAUUCUCAGAAAAUUCUUUGUGAUGUGUGCGUUCAACUCACAUAGUUUACCUUUCUUUUCAUAGAGCAGUUUAGAAACACACUGUAAAAUCUGCAAGUGGAUAUAUGGACAGUUUUGAGGCAUUCGUUGGAAACGGGAUUUCUUCAUUUAAUGCUAGACAGAAGAAUUCUCAUUAACUUCUUUGUGUUGUGUGUAUUCAACUGACAGAGUGGAACGUCCCUUUAGACAGAGCAGAUUUGAAACACUCUUUUUGUGGAAUUUGCAAGUGGACAUUUCAAUCGAUUUGAUGCCAGCAGUAGAAAAGGAAAUAUCUUCAAAUAAAAACUAGACAGAAUCAUUCUCAGAAACUACUUUGUGAUGUGUGCCUUCAACUCACAGAGUUUAACCGUUCUUUUCUUAGAGCAGUUUAGAAACUCUCUGCUUCUUAUGUCUGCAAGUGGAUAUUUGGAACUCUUUGAGGCCUUCGUUGCAAACCGGAUUUCUUCAUUUAAUGCUAGACUAAGAAGAGUUCUCAGUAACUUAUUUGUGUUGUGUGUAUUCAACUCACAGAAUUGAACCUUGCUUUAGAGAGAGCAGAUUUGAAUCACUCUUGCUGUGGAACUUUCAGGUGGAGAUUUCAAGCGAUUUGAGGACAAUUGCAGAAAAGGAAAUAUCUUCGUAUAAAAACCAGACAGAAUCAUUCUCAGAAACUUCUUUGUGAUGUGUGCAUUCAACUCACAGAGUUGAACUUUUCUUUUGAUAGAGCAGUUUUGAAACACUCUUUUUGUA
rnacentral:lncRNA from 1 species